rnacentral:rRNA from 1 species
UCAAGCGAACAAGGGCGCAGGGCGAAUGCCUUGGCACUGGGAGCCGAUGAAAGACGUGAUAAGCUGCGAUAAGCUUCGGGGAGCUGCAAAUAAGCAUUGAUCCGGAGAUUUCUGAAUGAGGAAACUCACCUGGGUUCAUACUCAGGUACGUUGUACUGAAAUUCAAAAUAGGUACAUCGGGGGAACCGCCUGAACUGAAACAUCUAAGUAGGGCGAGGAAGAGACAUCAAACGAGAUUCCGUAAGUAGUGGCGAGCGAACGCGGAAGAGGGCAAACCGAGAGUAGAAAUACUUUCGGGGUACGGACUGCUUUUAGGACUCAAUCUGUUAACCGAACGGCAUGGGAAGGCCGGUCAGAGAGUGUGAGAACCACGUAGGUGAAAACGGAAAGAGCUGCGCAGAUUCCAGAGUACGGCCAGACACGUGAAACCUGGUCGGAAGAUGGGGGGACCACCCUCCAACCCUAAAUACUACCCAGUGACCGAUAGCGUAUAGUACUGUGAAGGAAAGGUGAAAAGCACCCCGGGAGGGGAGUGAAAAAGAACCUGAAACCCUGUGCCUACAAGCACCUAGAGCACGUCAAUGUGUGAUAGGGUACUUUUUGUAGAACGGUCCGGCGAGCGAUUGUAUGCAGCAAGGUUAAGGACUUAAGGUCUGGAGCCGAAGCGAAAGCGAGUUUGAAAAGGGCGUUAAGUUGCAUAUAAUGGGCCCGAAACCGGGUGACCUACCCAUGGUCAGGUUGAAGUGGAAGUAAAAUUCCAUGGAGGACCGAACCGACCUCCGUUGAAAAGGCGGCGGAUGAACUGUGGGUAGCGGAGAAAUUCCAAUCGAACCCGGAGAUAGCUGGUUCUCCCCGAAAUAGUUUUAGGACUAGCCUCAAGUUAGAUACCUGGAGGUAAAGCACUGAAUAGCCUAGCGGCCGAGAGGUUAGCGAAGCUUAUCAAACUCAGAAUGCCAGAGUAUUGAUGCUUGGGAGUCAGACAGUGUCAGAUAAAUGUCAUUGUCAAAAGGGAAACAGCCCAGAUCUACAGCUAAGGUCCCAAAGUCAGGUUAAGUGGAAAACGAUGUGAAGAUACGCAGACAACCAGGAUGUUGGCUCAGAAGCAGCCACUCAUUCAAAGAGUGCGUAAUAGCUCACUGGUCGAGCGUCUUUGCGCGGAGAAUUUAACGGGGCUAAACCUGACACCGAAGCUUAGGCAAUCCAGCAAUGGAUUGGGUAGGGGAGCGUUGUAUACGCGGAGAAACAGUAGCGUAAGCGGCUGUGGAGUGUAUAGAAGUGAGAAUGCCGGAAUGAGUAGCGCGAAUGCAGUGAGAAUCUGCAUGGCCGAAAGCCUCAGGUUUUUGGAGGAAGGUUCGUCCGCUCCAAGUUAGUCGGGAGCUAAGGUGAGGCCGGAAGGCGUAGCCGAUGCACAGACGGUAGAGAUUCCGUCACCACCAAAAGAGUUAAGCACAGGGACACAUUUGAAGUCUCAGAGCCGGGUGUUGGUUCCGGUAGAGAUCGAGGGAAGUUAGUACCGAAGUCUGGGAUGGAAGAUGGCGAGAAAAGCUGUGUGUAUUUCUGAGGUGCCCGUACCGCAAACCGACACAGGUAGGUAGGAAGAAGAUUCUAAGGCCAACGGGAGAAGGGUUGUUAAGGAACUCGGCAAAUUGACCCCGUAACUUCGGGAGAAGGGGUGCUCCAGAGAUGGAGCCGCAGAGAAUCGGCCCAAGCAACUGUUUACCAAAAACACAGGUUUGUGCUAAAUCGAAAGAUGACGUAUACGAGCUGACGCCUGCCCGGUGCUGGAAGGUUAAGAGGAGAUGUGCAAGCAUUGAAUCGAAGCCCCAGUGAACGGCGGCCGUAACUAUAACGGUCCUAAGGUAGCGAAAUUCCUUGUCAGGUAAGUUCUGACCCGCACGAA